AACGCACAUUGCGCUCCUCGGUAUUCCGGGGAGCAUGCCUGUUCGAGCGUCAUUGCACCUCUCAAGCGCAGCUUGGUAUUGGGCACUCGUCCUCAUCGGACCUGCCCGAAAAAGAGUGGCGGUCUGGCACGACUUCAAGCGUAUCAAAAUUUAUCCCGCUUUGGAAGAUUGUGAUAUGGCUUGCCAAAACCCCUCAAUUUUCAAUGAUUGACCUCGGAUCAGGUAGGGAUACCCGCUGAACUUAA
rnacentral:misc_RNA from 1 species